rnacentral:rRNA from 1 species
UACGUAGGGGGCUAGCGUUGUCCGGAAUCAUUGGGCGUAAAGAGCGUGUAGGCGGUCCGGUAAGUCCGCUGUGAAAGUCGGGGGCUCAACCCUCGAAUGCCGGUGGAUACUGUCGGGCUAGAGUGCGGAAGAGGCGAGUGGAAUUCCGGGUGGAGUGGUGAAAUGCGUAGAGAUCCGGAGGAACACCGAAGGCGAAGGCAGUGUCCUGGGGAGUACCUGACGCUCAGGUGCGAAAGCCAGGGGAGCGAACGGG